rnacentral:rRNA from 1 species
CCUACGGGAGGCAGCAGUGGGGAAUAUUGCGCAAUGGGCGAAAGCCUGACGCAGCGACGCCGCGUGAGGGAUGAAGGUCUUCGGAUCGUAAACCUCUGUCAGCAGGGAAGAAAGGUCACUGUGCUAAUCAGCAGUGAAUUGACGGUACCUGCAAAGGAAGCACCGGCUAACUCCGUGCCAGCAGCCGCGGUAAUACGGGGGGUGCGAGCGUUAAUAGGAAUUACUGGGCGUAAAGCGCUCGUAGGCGGUAUGUCAAGUCAAGGGGGAAAUCCGCGCGCUCCAAGUGGGCACUGCCUUUGAAACUGGCAAACUGGAGUGUGUGAGAGGAUAGUGGAAUUCCAGGUGUAGGAGUGAAAUCCGUAGAUAUCUGGAGGAACAUCAGUGGCGAAGGCGACUAUCUGGCACAUAACUGACGCUGAGGAGCGAAAGCGUGGGUAGCAAACAGGAUUGGAUACCCUUGUAGUC